rnacentral:rRNA from 1 species
UACGUAGGGUGCAAGCGUUGUCCGGAAUUAUUGGGCGUAAAGAGCUCGUAGGCGGUUUGUCGCGUCUGCUGUGAAAACCCGAGGCUCAACCUCGCGCCUGCAGUGGGUACGGGCAGACUAGAGUGCGGUAGGGGAGAUUGGAAUUCCUGGUGUAGCGGUGGAAUGCGCAGAUAUCAGGAGGAACACCAAUGGCGAAGGCAGAUCUCUGGGCCGUAAGCGGACGCUGAGGAGCGAAAGCAUGGGGAGCGAACAGG